CCCUUAGAUGUUCUGGGCCGCACGCGCGCUACACUGACGGAGCCAACGAGUAUUUUCCUUGUCCGGAAGGACUGGGUAAUCUUGUGAAACUUUGUCGUGCUGGGGAUAGAGCAUUGUAAUUAUUGCUCUUCAACGAGGAAUUCCUAGUAAGCGUGAGUCAUCAGCUCGCGUUGAUUACGUCCCUGCCCUUUGUACACACCGCCCGUCGCUACUACCGAUUGAGUGAGCCGAUGAAACUGCCGGAUGUGGACUAUUCAUAGUCUGCAGAAGAUAUUUGAAUCGUAGCGCUUAGAGGAAGGAGAAGUCGUAACA
rnacentral:rRNA from 1 species